UCCAAUCGAACUCGGAGAUAGCUGGUUCUCCCCGAAAUAGCUUUAGGGCUAGCGUCGGAUAUGUGUAGUGGAGGUAGAGCACUGAAUGGGCUAGGGGGCAUAUCGCUUACCGAACCUUAUCAAACUCCGAAUGCCAUAUACAUUAAGUCCGGCAGUCAGACUACGAAUGAUAAGAUCCGUGGUCAAAAGGGAAACAGCCCAGAUCGUCAGCUAAGGUCCCAAAGUGUAAGUUAAGUGGAAAAGGAUGUGGGAUUUCUAAGACAACUAGGAUGUUGGCUUAGAAGCAGCCACUCAUUUAAAGAGUGCGUAAUAGCUCACUAGUCGAGAGAUCCUGCGCCGAAAAUGUCCGGGGCUCAAACUUACCACCGAAGCUACGGGCUUGCGUAAGCAAGCGGUAGGGGAGCGUCGUAAUCGGGCUGAAGUCGUACCGUAAGGAGCGGUGGACUGAUUACGAGUGAGAAUGUUGGCAUUAGUAGCGAGAUGUAGGUGAGAAUCCUACAGGCCGAAUAUCUAAGGUUUCCUCAGGAAGGCUCGUCCGCUGAGGGUUAGUCGGGACCUAAGCCGAGGCCGAAAGGCGUAGGCGAUGGACAAUCGGUUGAUAUUCCGAUACCACUACCAUCGUUAUUAUCGAGGGUGUGACGGAGAAGGAUAGUGUGUGCUAGCGAUUGGAAAUGCUAGUCUAAGCGUUUAGGGAGUUACGGUAGGCAAAUCCGCUGUAACAAUUCUGAGGCGUGAUGGGGAAGGCCAUAUAGGCCGAAGUACAUGAUUCCAUGCUUCCAAGAAAAGCAUCUAGAGAGAGAAGUAGUGCCCGUACCGCAAACCGACACAGGUAGAUGAGGAGAGAAUCCUAAGGCCGGCGGAAGAAUUGCAGUUAAGGAACUAGGCAAAUUGACCCCGUAAGUUCGCGAGAAGGGGUGCCUGCGAGAGCAGGCCGCAGAGAAUAGGCCCAAGCAACUGUUUAGCAAAAACACAGGUCUCUGCUAAAGCGUAAGCUGAUGUAUAGGGGCUGACGCCUGCCCGGUGCUGGAAGGUUAAGGGGAACACUUAGCGCAAGCGAAGGUGUGAACUUAAGCCCCAGUAAACGGCGGCCGUAACUAUAACGGUCCUAAGGUAGCGAAAUUCCUUGUCAGGUAAGUUCUGACCCGCACGAAUGGCGUAAUGACUUGGGCACUGUCUCAACUGCAAAUCCGGCGAAGUUGUAGUGCGAGUGAAGAUGCUCGCUACCCGCGAUUGGACGGAAAGACCCCGUAGAGCUUUACUGUAGCUUAGCAUUGAGUUUUGGUAUUGUCUGUACAGGAUAGGUGGGAGACUAGGAAACCAGGGCGUCAGCCUUGGUGGAGUCAACCUUGGGAUACCACCCUGACAGUACUGAAAUUCUAACUGGCGGCCAUGAAUCUGGUCACAGGACAUUGUUAGGUGGGCAGUUUGACUGGGGCGGUCGCCUCCUAAAAAGUAACGGAGGCGCCCAAAGGUUCCCUCAGAACGGUCGGAAAUCGUUCGUAGAGUGCAAAGGCAGAAGGGAGCCUGACUGCGAGACCUACAAGUCGAGCAGGGACGAAAGUCGGGCUUAGUGAUCCGGUGGUACCUCGUGGGAGGGCCAUCGCUCAACGGAUAAAAGCUACCUCGGGGAUAACAGGCUGAUCUCCCCCAAGAGUCCACAUCGACGGGGAGGUUUGGCACCUCGAUGUCGGCUCGUCGCAUCCUGGGGCUGAAGUAGGUCCCAAGGGUUGGGCUGUUCGCCCAUUAAAGCGGCACGCGAGCUGGGUUCAGAACGUCGUGAGACAGUUCGGUCCCUAUCCGUCGCGGGCGUAGGAAAUUUGAGAGGAGCUGUCCUUAGUACGAGAGGACCGGGAUGGACUGACCUCUGGUGUACCAGUUGUUCCGCCAGGAGCACAGCUGGGUAGCUAAGUCGGGAAUGGAUAAACGCUGAAAGCAUCUAAGCGUGAAGCCAACCUCAAGAUGAGAUUUCCCAUAGCGUAAGCUAGUAAGAUCCCUUGAAGAACACAAGGUUGAUAGGUCGGGGGUGUAAGCAUGGUAACAUGUUCAGCUGACCGAUACUAAUAGAUCGAGGGCUUGACCAA
rnacentral:rRNA from 1 species